rnacentral:rRNA from 1 species
UACGAAGGGGGCUAGCGUUGCUCGGAAUCACUGGGCGUAAAGCGCACGUAGGCGGAUCUUUAAGUCAGGGGUGAAAUCCUGGAGCUCAACUCCAGAACUGCCUUUGAUACUGGGGAUCUCGAGUCCGGGAGAGGUGAGUGGAACUGCGAGUGUAGAGGUGAAAUUCGUAGAUAUCGCAAGAACACCAGUGGCGAAGGCGGCUCACUGGCCCGGUAC